rnacentral:rRNA from 1 species
GUUGAACGCUGGCGGCAUGCCUUACACAUGCAAGUCGAACGGCAGCACGGGAGCAAUCCUGGUGGCGAGUGGCGAACGGGUGAGUAAUAUAUCGGAACGUGCCCAGUCGUGGGGGAUAACGUAGCGAAAGCUACGCUAAUACCGCAUACGAUCUAUGGAUGAAAGCGGGGGAUCGCAAGACCUCGCGCGAUUGGAGCGGCCGAUAUCAGGUUAGGUAGUUGGUGGGGUAAAAGCCUACCAAGCCUUCGAUCUGUAGCUGGUCUGAGAGGACGACCAGCCACACUGGAACUGAGACACGGUCCAGACUCCUACGGGAGGCAGCAGUGGGGAAUUUUGGACAAUGGGCGCAAGCCUGAUCCAGCAAUGCCGCGUGCAGGAUGAAGGCCUUCGGGUUGUAAACUGCUUUGUACGGACGAAACGGCUCUUCUAAUAAAGGAGCUAAUGACGGUACCAUAAGAAUAAGCACCGGCUAACUACGUAG